rnacentral:rRNA from 1 species
GAUGAAUGCUGGCGGCGUGCCUAACACAUGCAAGUCGAGCGGCAGCGAGGGGUGCUUGCACCCUGUCGGCGAGCGGCGAACGGCUGAGUAACGCGUAGGAAUUUUCCCCAAAGUGAGGAAUAACUGCCCGAAAGGGUAGCUAAUGCCGCAUAUGGUCUUCGGAUUACAGGAUUUAUCCGCUUUGGGAGAAGCCUGCGUUGGAUUAGGUUGUUGGUAGGGUAAUGGCCUACCAAGCCGACGAUCCAUAGCUGGUCUGAGAGGAUGAUCAGCCAGACUGGAACUGAGACACGGUCCAGACUCCUACGGGAAGCAGCAGUGAGGAAUCGUCCAAAAUGGGCGAAAGCCUGAUGGAGCAACGCCGCGUGAAGGAUGAAGGCCUUCGGGUUGUAAACUUCUUUUAUGAGUGAAGAAUAUGACGGUAACUCAUGAAUAAGCACCGGCUAACUACGUG